rnacentral:rRNA from 1 species
AGAGUUUGAUCAUGGCUCAGAACGAACGCUGGCGGCGUGGAUUAGGCAUGCAAGUCGAACGCGAAAGAGGGGGCAACUCCUCGAGUAGAGUGGCGAACGGGUGAGUAACGCGUGAAGAACCUGCCUUCGAGAGGGGGAUAACACUCCCAACGGGGUGCUAAUACCGCAUGAGACCACGGAGCUGCAUGGCUCUGUGCUCAAAGGUGGCCUCUAUUUAUAAGCUACCGCUCGAAGAUGGCUUCGCGUCCCAUUAGCUUGUUGGCGGUGUAAAAGACCACCAAGGCGACGAUGGGUAGCUGGUCUGAGAGGAUGGUCAGCCACACUGGGACUGAGAUACGGCCCAGACUCCUACGGGAGGCAGCAGUCGAGAGGCUUCGGCAAUGGGGGAAACCCUGACCGAGCGACGCCGCGUGGGGGAUGAAGGCCCUUGGGUUGUAAACCCCUUUUAUUCGGGAAGAAAUGCGAUCAGGUGAAUAAUCUGGUCGUUUGACGGUACCGAAUGAAUAAGCUCGGCUAACUCGUGCCAGCAGCCGCGGUA